rnacentral:rRNA from 1 species
AAUCAACGCUGGCGGCGUGCCUAACACAUGCAAGUCGAACGCGAAAGCCCCUUCGGGGGUAAGUAGAGUGGCGUCCGGGUGAGUAACACGUAGGUAAUCUGCCUUCGGGUGGGGAAUAACCAGUCGAAAGAUUGGCUAAUACCGCAUAAUGCAGCGGCACCUAAUGGUGAUUAGUUGUUAAAGCGGGGGAUCGUAAGACCUCGCGCCUGAAGAGGAGCCUGCGGCAGAUUAGCUAGNGGUGAGGUAAUGGCUCACCAAGGCUUCGAUCUGUAGCUGGUCUGAGAGGACGGCCAGCCACACUGGCACUGACACACGGGCCAGACUCCUACGGGAGGCAGCAGUGGGGAAUUUUGGGCAAUGGGCGAAAGCCUGACCCAGCAACGCCGCGUGAGGGAGGAAAUCCUUCGGGAUGUAAACCUCACAAGCAAGGGAAGAGAGCUCAAGGCCGAAUAAGCUUUGAGUCCGACGGUACCUUGCGUAAGCCACGGCUAACUACGUGCCAGCC